UCAAACUUGGUCAUUUAGAGGAAGUAAAAGUCGUAACAAGGUUUCCGUAGGUAUGUAUCAACGCCCGUCCUCCACGGAGAGCCCCGCUAACAGUCGUCAAGGUGAACCUGCGGAAGGAUCAUUAACGUGUCGGCUCCGGCCAUUCACGCCCCCUGUGUACCUCUGGUUUCUUCGGCGCUCCGGCGUCGGACCAAACGCGGCAAUGUGGUAUUGUCCGAGUCCCAGAAAUUACCAAAAACUUUCAACAACGGAUCUCUUGGUUCCAGCAUCGAUGAAGAACGCAGC
rnacentral:misc_RNA from 1 species